UAUCUCUGUAGAGUCUGCAUAUCAAUAAGCGGAGGAAAAGAAACUAACAAGGAUUCCCCUAGUAACGGCGAGUGAAGCGGGAAGAGCUCAAAUUUGAAAUCUUCAAGGUUUGACCUUGACGAAUUGUAGUUUAAAGAAGUGUUUUCGGUUAGAGGAGUAGUAAAAGUUCUUUGGAAUAGGACAUCAUAGAGGGUGAGAAUCCCGUAUUUGACUAUUCUUUCUAACUUUGUGAUACACUUUCAAAGAGUCGGACUGUUUGGGAAUGCAGUCCAAAAUGGGUGGUAAAUUUCAUCUAAAGCUAAAUAUUGGCGAGAGACCGAUAGCGAACAAGUACCGUGAGGGAAAGAUGAAAAGAACUUUGAAAAGAGAGUUAAACAGUACGUGAAAUUGUCAAAAGGGAAGCGUUUGACACCAGUGUUGUUUUUCCGAAAAUCAAUUUAAAAUUGAUUCAUGCCAGGUUGUAUUGACCUUAUCAGCUUGCAAUUUGGUUUUGGGUCUCUUUUUGAUGCACUUUUCGGUUAACAAGUCAACAUCAAUUUCCUUUGCUGUAAAAAGGUAAGAGGAAGGUGGCUUCAAUUUCGGUUGAAGUGUUUAUAGCCUUUUAUCUCUGCAGUCGGGGAGAUUGAGGUCUGCAGCGUAGAUCCUUCGGGGCUAGAUACAUUUAUGCUAAGUUAUAGCUUUUCAUAGACAACUUGUUGACUAUGUUUAGUCAUGUAGCUUACUCGUAAGUGCUAUUUUACCUACGCUUAGGAUGUUGAAGACUCUACAGAGAUA
rnacentral:rRNA from 1 species